AUUGAACGCUGGCGGCAUGCCUUACACAUGCAAGUCGAACGGCAGCACGGGUGCUUGCACCUGGUGGCGAGUGGCGAACGGGUGAGUAAUACAUCGGAACAUGUCCUGUAGUUGGGGAUAGCCCGGCGAAAGCCGGAUUAAUACCGCAUACGAUCUACGGAUGAAAGCGGAGGACCUUCUGGCCUCGCGCUAUAGGGUUGGCCGAUGGCGGAUUAGCUAGUUGGUGGGGUAAAGGCCUACCAAGGCGACGAUCAGUAGCUGGUCUGAGAGGACGACCAGCCACACCGGGACUGGACCACGGCCCAGACCCCUACGGGAGGCAGCAGUGGGGAAUUUUGGACAAUGGGCGAAAGCCUGGUCCAGCAAUGCCGCGUGUGGGAAGAAGGCCUUCGGGUUGGAAAACACUUUUGUCCGGAAAGAAAUCCUUGGCCCUAAUACGGUCGGGGGAUGACGGUACCGGAAGAAUAAGCACCGGCUAACUACGUG
rnacentral:rRNA from 1 species